rnacentral:snoRNA from 1 species
AUUCGUUUGUAUUUAAUAAGCAUGAUGAUUGUGUUUUUGCCCUCGUGUGAGGUACACCUCCCUCAAACUUUCUGUUAAGGUCAAUACAUUACCCUUUCUGAUG